rnacentral:rRNA from 1 species
ACAGGUGGCUGCAUGGCGUGUCGUCAGCUCGUGUCGUGAGAUGUUGGGUUAAGUCCCGUAACGAGCGCAACCCUUGCCUUUAGUUGCCAGCAGUUCGGGCUGGGCACUCUAAAGGGACUGCCGGUGUUAAACCGGAGGAAGGUGGGGAUGACGUCAAGUCCUCAUGGCCUUUAUGACCAGGGCUACACACGUACUACAAUGGCCGAUACAAAGGGCAGCGACACUGCGAGGUGAAGCCAAUCCCGUAAAAUCGGUCUCAGUCCGGAUUGGAGUCUGCAACUCGACUCCAUGAAGUUGGAAUCGCUAGUAAUCGUGGAUCAGCAUGCCACGGUGAAUACGUUCCCGGGCCUU